UGAGGAAGGCGAUUCCUCUCCUAGUUAGUUUCUCCAUGGAAGAACUCUAUUUAAUCCACCCAUCUCUUAAUAAUCCACAACCAUAUUUUUCUCCAUUUUCCCCAUCUCUCUUCAAUACAUCCAUUAUUUUCAGUUUCUCUCAUCCUUUUUUUCUCAUAUCAUAUUGUGAUCCUAAGAAUCAAUCUCACACUAAAAAGCUCACAAAUUGUCUUUGAGAUUGAUGGUGACCAAGAAUGGAGGAACAUGAGAAAUUGAAAAAGGUCCAACCAGAUUCGUACAGUGAACACAAACUCUACGGUUUCCGAUGGCAAUAGACAUGAGAGAUCGAAGAGUGAGAACUACGGUGGACCGACAUGCCGCAGUUGACCUCUAUACAGAAGACAUAGCUGCCAUAUUUAAAAAAUUCCAAGCAUCAACUAAGGAGGAACUGUCAACUAAACAAGUACGUGAAUUCUUGGAAGCUAAUGGCCAAGAUUUGUCUGGCUCUACUGAUACUCUUCUACGAAGAUGGUUAGUCCAUCUUUGUUUGAGCAUAUGAUCAGAAAUAUAUUAUAUAUGAGAACCUUCAAAUUCGUAAACACAAUGACGAAGUAAGUAACUAAGU